CGUAGGUGGCAAGCGUUGUCCGGAAUUAUUGGGCGUAAAGCGCGCGCAGGCGGUUCCUUAAGUCUGAUGCGAAAGCCCCCGGCUCAACCGGGGAAGGUCAUUGGAAAACUGGGGGAACUUGAGUGCAGAAGAGAAGAGCGGAAUUCCACGUGUAGCGGUGAAAUGCGUAGAGAUGUGGAGGAACACCAGUGGCGAAGGCGGCUCUUUGGUCUGUAACUGACGCUGAGGCGCGAAAGCGUGGGGAGCAAACAGGAUUAGAUACCCUGGUAGUCCACGCCGUAAACGAUGAGUGCUAAGUGUUAGAGGGUUUCCGCCCUUUAGUGCUGCAGCUAACGCAUUAAGCACUCCGCCUGGGGAGUACGGCCGCAAGGCUG
rnacentral:rRNA from 1 species